GAUGAACGCUAGCGGCAGGCUUAACACAUGCAAGUCGAGGGGUAACAGGGAUUGCUUGCAAUCCGCUGACGACCGGCGAACGGGUGCGUAACGCGUAUGCAACCUACCUUUUACAGGGGAAUAGCCCAAAGAAAUUUGGAAUAAUACCCCAUAAGAUCUUUAAUUGGCAUCGAUCAAAGAAGAAAACUCCGGUGGUAAAAGAUGGGCAUGCGUCCUAUUAGUUAGUUGGUAAGGUAACGGCUUACCAAGACUUCGAUAGGUAGGGGUCCUGAGAGGGAGAUCCCCCACACUGGUACUGAGACACGGACCAGACUCCUACGGGAGGCAGCAGUGAGGAAUAUUGGACAAUGGAGGCAACUCUGAUCCAGCCAUGCCGCGUGCAGGAAGACUGCCCUAUGGGUUGUAAACUGCUUUUAUACAGGAAGAAUUGCAUCUACGUGUAGUUGCUUGACGGUACUGUACGAAUAAGGAUCGGCUAACUCCGUGCCAGCCGCCGCCGUAACAC
rnacentral:rRNA from 1 species